AAGAUAUGAUGGGGGAUAUUCAGGUCCUUGUUUAUAACUGAUCAAGUCUUGAGCACUUUUACCUUGGGAAAAUAGAGUUUGACGAAUUGUUUGCAUAUCAUAUGUUACUGCUCAAGUCCAAAAACAUAUGAUGGAAUAAUUCUUUAGGAAGGGAUUUGGAGGAUAGCAAGAAGUGAAACAAAAGGUGGGCAACCUCUGUACUAUAUGAAAGUUAUCUUAUAUCUCAGAUUUUUCAAGUUUUUAUAUAUCUUUCAACAAAUACCUUCACAAUCAGCUCAUCGGCGCAUAGAGUUUUAGUUGUGAUGCAGGCUGGUGGAAUUCACACGCACCAAGAAUCAGCCCAUCGACGCAUUUGGAGUUGAGGCUGCUGUAUCCUUGAUCGAGAUGUGAAUUCAAUUUAAGUCAGAGUGUAUAUAAUAUAGGCAAGUACAGUGAUGAAGAAGUUGUGAAUACAAUGCCAUUCUCCUCAUCUCUUUCACCAAUCUUUCAAAUGCUACACACUGAGUGGCUCAAAUUUUUAAAAGCAGAAUAAUGGGUGUAAUGCCACUUCCAUUAUUACUAUUCAAAUUUGUACUGCUUUCUACCAGCAUAUGCUAUUUAUUGUAACUUUUACCUACUAUAUAGCAUGGAAAAUCAACCAAAUAUUCUAAGGUCAAA